GGAAGCCUACCUAAUUCAUGUACA
rnacentral:siRNA from 1 species